rnacentral:tRNA from 1 species
GCGCCCGUAGCUCAACCGGACAGAGCACCGGCCUUCUAAGCCGGGGGUUGUGGGUUCGAGUCCCGCCGGGCGUG